rnacentral:ncRNA from 1 species
CCGGAAUGGACGUACCAAUUGUGCACCAGUUGUUUCGCCAGAAGCACGGCUGGGUAGCGAAGUACGGACGGGAUAAACGCUGAAAGCAUCUAAGUGUGAAACCCACCCAAAGAUAAGAUAUCUCCUUUGAUAAGGCCCCUUGUAGACCACAAGGUUGAUAGGUCGGAGGUGUAAGUGUAGUAAUACAUUCAGCUGACCGAUACUAAUAGGCCGAACGCUUGUUCAA